GACGAACGCUGGCGGCGUGCUUUACACAUGCAAGUCGAACGGUGAAGGUGGAGCUUGCUCCGCCGGAUCAGUGGCGAACGGGUGAGUAACACGUGGGCAACCUGCCCCUAACUUUGGGAUAACUACUCGAAAGAGUAGCUAAUACCGGAUACGAAGUCUGUAGGCAUCUACGGAUUUGGAAAGUUUUUCGGUUAGGGAUGGGCCCGCGGCCUAUCAGCUUGUUGGUGAGGUAGUGGCUCACCAAGGCGACGACGGGUAGCCGGCCUGAGAGGGCGACGGGCCACACUGUGACUGAGACACGGCCCAGACUCCUACGGGAGGCAGCAGUGGGGAAUGUUGCGCAAUGGGCGAAAGCCUGACGCAGCAACGCCGCGUGCGGGAUGAAGGCCUUCGGGUUGUAAACCGCUUUCAGCAGGGAAGAAGCGAAAGUGACGGUACCUGCAGAAGAAGCACCGGCUAACUACGUGCCAGCCGCCGCCGUAA
rnacentral:rRNA from 1 species